AACGAACGCUGGCGGCAGGCCUAACACAUGCAAGUCGAGCGCCCAGCAAUGGGAGCGGCAGACGGGUGAGUAACACGUGGGAACCUUCCCUAUAGUACGGAAUAGCCCAGGGAAACUUGGAGUAAUACCGCAUACGCCCGAGAGGGGAAAGAUUUAUCGCUAUAGGAUGGGCCCGCGUAGGAUUAGCUAGUUGGUGAGGUAAUGGCUCACCAAGGCGACGAUCCUUAGCUGGUCUGAGAGGACGACCAGCCACACUGGGACUGAGACACGGCCCAGACUCCUACGGGAGGCAGCAGUGGGGAAUAUUGGACAAUGGGCGCAAGCCUGAUCCAGCCAUGCCGCGUGAGUGAUGAAGGCCUUAGGGUUGUAAAGCUCUUUUGCCGGGGACGGAUAAUGACGGUACCCGGACGAAUAAGUCCCGGCUAACUUCGUGCCAGCAGCCGCGGUAA
rnacentral:rRNA from 1 species